rnacentral:rRNA from 1 species
UACGUAGGGGCAAGCGUUGUCCGGAAUCAUUGGGCGUAAAGCGCACGUAGGCGGUCUGUUAUGUCGGAUGUGAAAGCCCUUGGCUCAACUGAGGAAGUGCAUCCGAAACUGGCAGGCUAGAGUACGAAAGAGGAUCGCGGAAUUCCCGGUGUAGAGGUGAAAUUCGUAGAUAUCGGGAGGAACACCGGUGGCGAAGGCGGCGAUCUGGGUCGAUACUGACGCUGAGGUGCGAAAGCGUGGGGAGCAAACAGG